rnacentral:rRNA from 1 species
CCUACGGGCGGCAGCAGUGGGGAAUAUUGCACAAUGGGCGCAAGCCUGAUGCAGCCAUGCCGCGUGUAUGAAGAAGGCCUUCGGGUUGUAAAGUACUUUCAGCGGGGAGGAAGGGAGUAAAGUUAAUACCUUGCUCAUUGACGUUACCCGCAGAAGAAGCACCGGCUAACUCCGUGCCAGCAGCCGCGGUAAUACGGAGGGUGCAAGCGUUAAUCGGAAUUACUGGGCGUAAAGCGCACGCAGGCGGUUUGUUAAGUCAGAUGUGAAAUCCCCGGGCUCAACCUGGGAACUGCAUCUGAUACUGGCAAGCUUGAGUCUCGUAGAGGGGGGUAGAAUUCCAGGUGUAGCGGUGAAAUGCGUAGAGAUCUGGAGGAAUACCGGUGGCGAAGGCGGCCCCCUGGACGAAGACUGACGCUCAGGUGCGAAAGCGUGGGGAGCAAACAGGAUUAGAUACCCGGGUAGUC